rnacentral:rRNA from 1 species
CACGUAGGGUGCGAGCGUUGUCCGGAAUUAUUGGGCGUAAAGAGCUCGUAGGCGGUGUGUCGCGUCGGCCGUGAAAACCUGCAGCUCAACUGUGGGCUUGCGGUCGAUACGGGCAUCACUGGAGUUCGGCAGGGGAGACUGGAAUUCCUGGUGUAGCGGUGAAAUGCGCAGAUAUCAGGAGGAACACCGGUGGCGAAGGCGGGUCUCUGGGCCGAUACUGACGCUGAGAAGCGAAAGCGUGGGGAGCAAACAGG